CCAGUGAAGGUGCCUCUUCCUGGCUAGCCCACCUACAUGCUGUCAUCACUGGGCUUCUGCAACUCUCAGUCUUUGUGGCUGCACCCUUCCCUUCUGAAUCCUGAGGACCCAUGAGUGUCAGGCCCAUCAUGAAAUUGGUCGUCUUACUGGGUCUUUCCCCUGCAGCUUUCCCGAGGCUGUACAGCAUUUAUUGGUGCUCAUCUGUUUGAGUAGAGCUGGCAUAGAGGACUGCCACCGGCUGGGAGGGGCCAUGGUACCAGAGGUCUUGGGUGCCUGAAGAUACUCCCCCUAGCCCUGAUGCCUUGGAAGAGAAGCCCUUCAAGACAAGCUGAUGCCAGGCCCUGGCCAGAGGUGGGGACAGAUGGCAUUUCCUGCUCAGUGUGUGGGCCUGGGCCCCAUUGCUUGGGGGAGUUCCAUGAGUGUUAACAGGAUUCAAAGGAAGAGGUAGGAACUUAGGGGCGAUCCUGUUGGAAAGAUAUCAUUUGGAGAAGUGAGGGGGAGCUUGAAGCAAAGGGGUCUGUGUC
rnacentral:lncRNA from 1 species